rnacentral:tRNA from 1 species
GGGCGGUUAGCUCAGUUGGAAGAGCGCCGGUCUUACACACCGGAGGUCACAAGUUCGAACCUUGUACCGCCCA